ACUGGCACUAAAGUGUCAUCUAAUGGAAGCAGUACUACUAGUAGCGCCACAACGCAAGCUGUUAGUACUGAUAAUGGAAAAAGGACACUAGGUAUAGAGGAUAUUGAUUAUGGUAAUAACAGUUUUAAAUAAAGCUCAAUUUGGUCCAGUCAAAUGGAAUAACUUGGGCCUAAAGUUAGGUCUAUAUCAGACAAGACUCAAUGUCAUUGCAAAAAGUGGUAAUGAUGCAUAUGAGCACUUGAGGAAGACAAUAGAAGCAUGGCUAGAGGGUGCAGACAAUGCUAAAAGUAGAACAUGGCAGACUUUGAUCAAUGCUGUGAGGGAAGCAGGAGAUCGUGCAGCUGCUGAAAGAAUACCUAAAAACUAAAAACCCUUUACUAUAUUACUGAUAUUAGGAUAGUACAAUUUUAAGUAAUUAUUAUGAGUUAAAAUGAUUGGCAUAUUCUUUUGGCAGAGGUGCCAGGAGCUAGUAAAUAAUUGCUAUCAUUUCAA